rnacentral:rRNA from 1 species
ACGCCGAGAGGUGAUGGGAUGGAACGACUUCGGUCAAUCCACAACUGGACGAGUCUAUGCUCCCAAGAAAAGCCGCGGGUGGAGUCUUCAGGCAGUCCGUACCGGAAACCGACACAGGUGGGCGGGCCGAACAGGCCAAGGCGCUUGAGAGAAUCCUGGUGAAGGAACUCUGCAAAUUACCACCGUAACUUCGGGAGAAGGUGGGCCAACCUUUGUGAGGGGACAAGCGCCCCAAAGCAUCGGAUGGCCGCAGAGAAAUGGCGGUAGCGACUGUUUACCAAAAACUUAGCACUCUGCUAAAUCGUAAGAUGAUGUAUAGGGUGUGAUGCCUGCCCGGUGCCGGAAGGUUAAGGGGAUAUGUCAGCGCAAGCGAAGCAUUGAGCCGAAGCCCCGGUAAACGGCGGCCGUAACGAUAACGGUCCUAAGGUAGCGAAAUUCCUUGUCGGGUAAGUUCUGACCUGCACGAAUGGCAUAACGACUUCCGCACUGUCUCCACCAGGAACUCAGCGAAGUUGAGAUCGCAGUGAAAACGCUGCGUACCCGCGGAAAGACGGAAAGACCCCGUGAACCUUUACUGCAACUUGGCAGUGAUGUUCGAAUCAAUUUGUGUAGGAUAGGUGGGAGGCUGUGAACCCUGGGCGCCAGCUUAGGGGGAGCCACCGUUGAAAUACCACCCUGAUUGAUUUGGCCAUCUAACCUGCGCCCGUGAACCGGGUGGGGGACACUGUCUGGUGGGCAGUUUGACUGGGGCGGUCGCCUCCCAAAGUGUAACGGAGGCGCGCGAUGGUACCCUCAGCCUGAUUGGAAACCAGGCGUCGAGUGUAAUGGCAUAAGGGUGCCUGACUGCGAGGCCGACGGGCCGAGCAGGGUCGAAAGACGGUCAUAGUGAUCCGGUGGUUCCAGAUGGAAGGGCCAUCGCUCAACGGAUAAAAGGUACUCCGGGGAUAACAGGCUUAUCUCCCCCAAGAGUUCACAUCGACGGGGAGGUUUGGCACCUCGAUGUCGGCUCAUCGCAUCCUGGGGCUGAAGUCGGUCCCAAGGGUUUGGCUGUUCGCCAAUUAAAGCGGUACGCGAGCUGGGUUCAAAACGUCGUGAGACAGUUUGGUCCCUAUCUUCCGUGGGCGUAGGAGACUUGAGGGUACCUGUCCCUAGUACGAGAGGACCGGGAUGGACGGACCCCUGGUGAUCCAGUUGUCACGCCAGUGGCAUCGCUGGGUAUCCAUGUCCGGAACAGAUAACCGCUGAAAGCAUCUAAGCGGGAAGCUGACCCCAAG